GGGUCAGUAGGUUGGUCGUGCCACCGGUACGUACUGGUCUCACUUAUUCCUCCUUCCUGAAGAACCGUAAUGCCAUUAAUUUGGUGUUGCGGGGAAACAGGACUGUUACUUUGAAAAAAUUAGAGUGUUUAAAGCAAGCUAACGCUUGAAUACAUUAGCAUGGAAUAAUAAAAUAGGACGAUCGAUCCUAUUUUGUUGGUUUCUAGGAUUGACGUA
rnacentral:rRNA from 1 species